AAGAAAUUAGUUUAAUAAAAACGUUACAAUGUCAAAUUAAAAUUACUUUUAAGUAUUUCUUU
rnacentral:tRNA from 1 species